AGGUGUUUAAUCUAAUCAAGAUAAUUGAUUUCGACUCAAUUAAUUAUGGUCUCAACCCAUAAAUACCUU
rnacentral:tRNA from 1 species